rnacentral:rRNA from 1 species
UACAGAGGGGGCAAGCGUUAUUCGGAAUUAUUGGGCGUAAAGGGCGCGUAGGCGGCUUGGCAAGUGGAAGGUGAAAUCCUUCGGCUUAACCGAGGAACUGCCCUCCAAACUGCUUCGCUUGAGACCGGGAGAGGUGAGUGGAAUUCCCAGUGUAGCGGUGAGAUGCGUAGAUAUUGGGAGGAACACCAGUGGCGAAGGCGGCUCACUGGACCGGUACUGACGCUGAUGCGCGAAAGCGUGGGGAGCAAACGGG